UUUUCUUAAAACAACUUUAUUGAGGUAUACUUGUAUUGAGAUAUAACUAAUGUUGUACACUUACAACAAAAACUACACAUAUCUAGUGUAUACAAUCUGUGAGUUUGACUUAUGUAUAUGCUCAUGAUACUAUCACCACAAUCAAGAUAAUAAUCAUAUCCAUCACCUCCAGCGUUUCCUUGUGUCCCUUUGUAGUGGUUUGUUUUAGCUUUGGUUUUUUUGUGUGUGGCAUAACCCUUAACAUGAGAUCUACCCUCUUAACAAAUUUUAAAGUGCACAAUGCCAUAUUGUAAGCUAUAAUUACUAUGUUGUACAGCAGAUCUCUAGAACUGAUUCUUCAUGCAUAACUGAAACUUUAUACCCAUUGAGAAACAAGUCUCCCUUUCCUCUCCCCGGAGACCCUGGCAACCACCAUUCUAUUCUCUGCCUCUAUGAGUUUGACUACUUUAGAUACCUCAUAUUAGUGGAAUCCUGCAGUAUUUGUCUUUUUUUGUGACUAGCUCAUUUCACUUAGCAUAACAUCCAUGUUGUUGCAAAUGGUAAGAUUUCUUUUUCUUUUUUUUAAUUUUAUGGAGACAGAGUCUCACUCUGUUGUCUAGGCUGGAGUGCAGUGGCACAAUCUCGGCUCACUGCAACCUCUGCCUCCCGGGUUCAAGUGAUUUUCAUACCUCAGCCUCCCAAGCAGUAGCUGGACUACAGGCAUGAGCCACCACACCCAGCUGGUUUUUUGUAUUUUUAGUGGAGACGGGGUUUCACCAUGUUGGCCAGGCUGGUCUCUAACUCCUGACCUCAAGUGAUCUGCCUGCCUCAGCCUCCCAAAGUGCUGGGAUUACAGGUGUGAACCACUGUACCCGGCCAUAAGAUUUCCUUCUUUUUGUGGUUGAAUAAUAUCCCACUGUAUGUAUAUACCACAUUUUUGAUAUCCUUUCAUGUGUCAAUGGACUUUCAGGUUGUUUCCAUACCUUGGCUAUGGUAAAUAAUGCUAUGAUGAACAUGGAAGUGUGGAUAGCUCUUUGAGAUUCAGUUACACGUGGCUGAGGAGGCCUCACAAUCAUGGUGGAAGAUGAAGGGCACAUCUCACAU
rnacentral:lncRNA from 1 species